rnacentral:lncRNA from 1 species
CAUCCAAAAUGUGAACCCUAUUUUAUUUCAUAAAGCCCAAGUCAUCCGAAACAAACCUUAACUUUGCAAAGCUCUUACAAAGUCAUAUCAACUCCAAAUCACCCAAAAUCAAUGCCCAUAGAAACCCUAUCCAAUCUUCUCUCAAACCCCACUCUCCGAUCUGCCAAAAAGUCCUGGAGUCAUUGUAGAGACUCGGUUUUGUCUCCUAGGGUCUGAUUUCAACCUUGAUUCAUAACCGCCCUCUCCGGGUAUCAAUACCUAGUUUUUCUAAGUAACUUUUUUCUAGAAUUACUCUUAACUUCCUUCUAAAGAUGCCUAUGUCAUUUAUUUUUCCAAUCUACUUUGAUUUGCCUUACUUAUGGUGCUACAAAGUAAGUAGAAGUCACCUUUCUAAAAGGCAGCAUUGGUAUAUUUUAAUUUUUCUACCCCUUUGACUAUUAACUAUAUUUUUAAGAUAAUUUGUUAUAAUAUUUUGAACUAAGAUCUCCUAAAUUAUAAUAAUCUCCACACUCUUUCACCUAUUAAUCGUGUUACAUCAUGACAACAUAAAAUUGAAUUUAAAGCAUUCCUAAACGUCCCUAUUUUCAGCUAUACUUGGAUGAGCCGUAGAGUUGACUAGGGCCUAAGUGGUCCAUGUUCCAUUCUAGCCAACCGUGAUCUUUAAUAGUCUGAUUCUAUGCAGAGUAUUUUAUAGAACUUUCUCGUGGGAUCGGGGUUUUGAUAUUGUUAUCACGAAAGCAAUUAAGUCUCAAUUUCAAUUGCCCUACAUCAAGCACACUUUUGCAUCAGAUUUCUGCCCUUGGGUUGUGGACCGCAGGUUCGAAGGAGGCUGUCUUGGAGCGAAGUCGGCAUACAUGCAUCGAUUAAGAAUUAUAACAUGAAAAUAAAUGCCUUCUUUUUCAACUUGUCCGCUGCUCAUCAAGUUUGUAACUAAGCCACUACAGAGUUGCCAUUCUGUUCUUGGAUGUUACUUGCAGUUUCCAAUCCUCGCACUAGUUUGUAAAAUAGAAUUGAGAGGAGGGAGCGUAGUGACUUACCUUGGAAGAUUUAGAGCUGCAGAUGGACGGAACUCAGGAACUCAGAUGUUUCGUGCAUGCUGGCUGCGGCAACAUUGACGAUUUUACUAUGCUAGGAGGAUAUUAUAAACAUCACCGUCGAGUGAUUCCUGUUCCGUUCUUUCCCUUGCUCUGCUCCUCUAAUCCUUGCUCACCAGCACCGGACAUGUCAUUGCUGACAACACAAUCAGUCACAUUCAGAAAACUCAGCGCCGUAGUGUACUUGCAUAAUACUACAGCGGGAGAGAACCUUUGGGAAUGUAUCGUCCUGAGCUUGAAGUCUCUCGCGACGUGUGCAGACAUGGAAACUGCGGUCAACAUUUAUCACCCACAAACUCUUUCC